rnacentral:rRNA from 2 species
UUCUAUCUACAAUGUUCAAUCCCAACUUUUCUGAGUCCUAGUACGCAAGGAAUGGUCUCAGCGAUGCUCGACUAUAUUGGCCCCAUCGACGUAAUCAACUUCUGGCUGCUGCAAAGAAGGAGAAACAAAAGGUUUAGGGAUUAAUAAGGU